GUGCAGCAGUCGCGAAACCUCCGCAAUGCGGGAAACCGCGACGGGGGGACCCCGAGUGCCGUGGCAACGCCACGGCUUUUCCGGAGUGUAAAAAGCUCCGGGAAUAAGGGCUGGGCAAGGCCGGUGGCAGCCGCCGCGGUAAUACCGGCGGCCCGAGUGGUGGCCGCUAUUAUUGGGCCUAAAGCGUCCGUAGCCGGGCCCGUAAGUCCCUGGCGAAAUCCCACGGCUCAACCGUGGGGCUUGCUGGGGAUACUGCGGGUCUUGGGACCGGGAGAGGCGGGGGGUACCCCUGGGGUAGGGGUGAAAUCCUAUAAUCCCCAGGGGGACCGCCAGUGGCGAAGGCGCCCCGCUGGAACGGUCCGACGGUGAGGGACGAAGGCCAGGGGAGCAAACCGGAUUAGAUACCCGUGUAGU
rnacentral:rRNA from 1 species